rnacentral:rRNA from 1 species
GGCAACCCUGACGGAGCAAGACCGCGUGAGGGAGGAAGGCUCUUGGGUUGUAAACCUCUUUUCUCAGGGAAGAAGCUCUGACGGUACCUGAGGAAUCAGCCUCGGCUAGCUCCGUGCCAGCAGCCGCGGUAAUACGGAGGAGGCAAGCGUUAUCCGGAAUUAUUGGGCGUAAAGCGUCCGUAGGCGGUUUUUCAAGUCUGCCGUUAAAGACUACAGCUUAACUGUGGGCCGGCGGUGGAAACUGAUGAACUUGAGUAUGGUAGGGGUAGAGGGAAUUCCCAGUGUAGCGGUGAAAUGCGUAGAUAUUGGGAAGAACACCAGUGGCGAAGGCGCUCUGCUGGGCCAUAACUGACACUGAGGGACGAAAGCUAGGGGAGCG